GUAGGUGGCAAGCGUUGUCCGGGAAUUAUUGGGGCGUAAAGCGCGCGCAGGCGGUUCUUUAAGUCUGAUGUGAAAGCCCACGGGCUCAACCGUGGAGGGUCAUUGGAAACUGGAGAACUUGAGUACAGAAGAGGAAAGCGGAAUUCCACGUGUAGCGGUGAAAUGCGUAGAGAUGUGGAGGAACACCAGUGGCGAAGGCGGCUUUCUGGUCUGUAACUGACGCUGAGGCGCGAAAGCGUGGGGAGCAAACAGGAUUAGAUACCCUGGUAGUCCACGCCGUAAACGAUGAGUGCUAAGUGUUAGGGGGUUUCCGCCCCUUAGUGCUGCAGCUAACGCAUUAAGCACUCCGCCUGGGGAGUACGGCUGCAAAGGCUG
rnacentral:rRNA from 1 species